rnacentral:misc_RNA from 1 species
UGGUUCCGGCAUNGAUGAAGAACGCAGCGAAAUGCGAUAAGUAAUGUGAAUUGCAGAAUUCAGUGAAUCAUCGAAUCUUUGAACGCAUAUUGCGCCCCUUGGUAUUCCGAGGGGCAUGCCUGUCCGAGCGUCAUUGCACCUCUCAAGCCUGGCUUGGUGUUGGGACCCGCCCCCUGUGGUGGCCCCGGAAAGCAGUGGCGGUCCGGUGAGACUUCAAGCGUAGUGGAUAAACUUUUUCAGUUUUCGCUCUGAAUGCUCAAGCCGUGACUUGGCCAGUUCAACCCCCUAAAUAUUUUUCAGGUUGACCUCGGAUCAGGUAGGGAUACCCGCUGA